AUGGCGGGAGGGUCGUCGUCGUCGUCGUCGUCGGCGGUGGCGGCGCUGGUGGCGCUGCUCGGGCUCGGCGUCGCCGCCUACAUCGUCGGCCCGCCGCUCUACUGGCACGUCGCCGAGGCGCUAGGCCGCUCGCCGGGGGCCUGCCCCGCCUGCGCCUGCGACUGCGACGCGCUCCCGCUGCUCCAGCUCCCCGAAGACUGUGCCAAGCAAUUCAAAGAGGUCAAGAGUCAUGCUUCCGGUGAAGAAACAGAGAAGAGUAUCACAGAGAUGCUGAUAGAAGAGCUAAAGCAGAGAGAGGAGGAAGCAACAGAAGCUCAGCAACAAGCCGAUGUAAAGUUGCUCGAGGCUAAAAAACUAGCUUCGCAGUAUCAAAAGGAGGCUGACAAAUGCAGUUCAGGCAUGGAUACAUGUGAAGAAGCUAGGGAGAAGUCAGCAGAGUCGCUGCUCGGUCAAAGGAAAUUAACUGCUUUGUGGGAGGAAAGGGCUCGGGAACUCGGAUGGAAACCCGGGAAUGUCAAUCUACACCGGAAUCAGUAA
rnacentral:rRNA from 1 species